GGGAAAGCUUUGGGCUUUUUUGGGGGGCUCAUUCCCUUUGUUUCUCAAAAUAUCCCUGGCCCUGGCUGCUCUAAUCUCUUCCCAGAGUAGAGACAGCGAGGCUCCUGCUCCAGGAACACAGCCUGCUCCCUGAGACAGCACUCUGGCUCAGCCCUGGGGCCCCGGCCUGGGUGGCCCUCAGGAAGACCUUCUCCUUCAGUGGGGGUGCCUCCCUCCCUGGUGUGAAAUGGAACACUGUUUCUCAGAACCCCGCAUCCUGUGAAACCCUUGGGAAAAAAUAACCUCGAUGCCCACAGGCGAUUGUUCAGUACUUCCCACGCCUGACACUUGUCUUUGAGUAAGUCUGGUGGCGUUCUGGCCGGCCCCGCAACAGCGGGACUGUGUCUUGUGAUAUGAAGAGGUUCUUUUCCUAACCAUAUAUGUCUCCCCAAGAGCACCAAUAAAUAAUGUGGUUGCUCGGCCUGGGUUGUCUUUCCCUAGCUGGCCCAGGAGCCCUCUGGCCCCUGCUCGCGGCUUCUCCUGUUUCAAUUUCCAUGUCCUCUCCGAUUUGUAACUCAAGGAGCUCCCAGGCUUAGGAACAGAUGACGAGCUGGCCACUCCUGGCUGUGGCACCUGGGGAAGGGGCGAUGGGCAAUGACUUGCAGGCACACUCCUGGCUCCCUGGCCCCGGCUGCCGUGACACACUGCAAGGGCCAGCGGAGCAGAGGGAGAGAGAGAAUCUUAAGAAGGUUCCAUGCUCAAUGCAAAGCCCAAGGCUGGGCUCAAUCCCAUAACCCUGGGAUCAUGACCUGAGCUGAAAUCAAGAGUUGAAUGCUCAACCUACUGAACCACCCAGGCACGCCUGGGCUGCGAGAGUUUAAAAGGAAUCUGCAGGGGGUGUGAACCGAACACGGGGAGAAAGUCACCAGUGCCUUGUGAUUGGAAAGCAAAGCACUGUCUGGGAGGGUCUCCCCACAAAACUCUAUUGGCUACUUACUGACUGAAAGCAGAGACUGAUUUUAUGAGGGAAAAACCCAGCCACCCAGCUGGCCAGCAGACCAAGAGCGCAAUACCGCAGGUGGGACAUGUGGGCCCAGGGUGCCCCAGAGGUGCUCCAGGACAGCUGGUGUCACUUCCGAGGCUGGCUGGGGAGGAAAGAUUGGGCUGAUCCUGCUGGGGCUCAACUAAAGAAUGAAAGGUCGUGCUCUUGAGAUUGUAGGGGACAGGAGAGGCAAAAAAAGAAAAAAAAAAGGCUGUGUGGUUUCUGUAUUGAUGGAGUCUAUAUACAAGGCAUGAUCUUGGAUUGGGUUGUGAACCAGAAAGGGAAAGGUAACAUGGCGGGGACCAGUGGUGGAAACUGAAUGAGGUUUCUGGUUUGGAAGCCAGUGCCAUUAUCAAAGUCCAUUUCCUGCUGUAAAUGACUGUACUGUGGUUAUGCAGGAGAGUGUCUUUGCUUUUGGGAAAUACACACGGGAGUAUGUAGGAGGGAUGGGGCAUCAGGUUUACAGCUUGCUUCCAAAUAGUUCAGAAGGGGAACCAAUGGAGAUGGGGCAGGG
rnacentral:lncRNA from 1 species